rnacentral:lncRNA from 1 species
UGGAAUUCAAAUUGUAUUUACAUAUCAGGGAAUCAUACCAAGGCAAGAUCUGUCAGAGUGAUGAAUGUGGGAAAACAUAUUGUCUUGGAAAUUGUUAUACUAAAAGCCAUAUUUCUGAUGUAAAUUCCAGUGUUUAUAGGAAAACUAUCAGAAGCUCUCAGCUCUGAAUAAACAAUUGUAUAAAAUGAAGUUUUGGAAUCAUCAGGAGUUUAAAAUGAGGACAGUAGCAUUAAACACAUAUAUGGCAGUUUCUAUCAUGUUUUAAAAAUAUGGUCUAACAGCAAUUCUAUGCAAAUUUGGGGUUGAAUUUUUGGGAAAAGGCAGUAUUCUAAUUUGAGUCUUAAGGUGGCAAAGUGUACUAAUACAGGCUAUAUGUUUUUGGUGAGACAUUUGCUAGAUACUGGAUAAUUAAAUACAUGAUUUUCUAUUGGGAGGCAUUGACAAAUGAGUUUCUAGUGAAUGCCCCAUCAAUAAAACCUAAGCUGUGGGUUUUAUAGUGAUUUCAACUACAUUUGAGCAAAAAAGAUUUUUAAAACACUAUUUUCAUAAACUAUGCAUAGAUGACUUGGAGUUAAGUCUGGGUCAGUAGAAGGCAGCAUCCACAUUGUUAUCUGUAGAAUACACACAACUCUCAUGCCACUCCACUUGUCUAAUCAAUAGGUUUAAGUGCACAGUAUGCCAAUACAAUGUCUUUCAGAAACGUCAUCUCUCCUUUUAUUUGACAUGAAUAUUAUGUCAUUUUUGUGUGCACUGUCCCUCAUUCCCAGUAUUUUGGAACAAAUACAAGUUUCUAGCAGUGUCCUUAACUCAGUGUCCUUUCUCCCCUUAUUCCUCUCUGGAAGAGUUUGUCCACCAUUUCCUCACAUGACAGAUUCAUCUGAACCAAUCAUGAUAAUUCCACUCCAGUUGCCAGUAAUUGUUUAUAUGGUCACAUGACUUAGUUCUGGGCCAAGGAAUGUAAGGGUCAUUUAAAAAUCAAAAAUUAAUCACUGGACUACAUCACAUGGAAGCAAGUAAUCUAAGAUGCAAAGAAGUCACGUGGUAAGGUUAACAUCCAUUUGUGUUCCUCAUAAGCUAUGAAUUUGAAAAGAACUUCUCUACCUGGAUGAAAAGUAUUUAAAACUACAAGCACCAGCAUAUCUAAUACUAAAAUAUUGAAAGUUUUCUCCAG